UGGGGAAUAUUGCACAAUGGGGGAAACCCGUGAUGCAGCGACGCCGCGUGAGUGAAGAAGUAUUUCGGUAUGUAAAGCUCUAUCAGCAGGGUAAGAUAAUGACGGUACCUGACUAAGAAGCCCCGGCUAACUACGUGCC
rnacentral:rRNA from 1 species